rnacentral:misc_RNA from 1 species
GAAAUGCGAUAAGUAAUGUGAAUUGCAGAAUUCAGUGAAUCAUCGAAUCUUUGAACGCACCUUGCGCUCCUUGGUAUUCCGAGGAGCAUGUCUGUUUGAGUGUCAUGGAAUUCUCAACUCUAUUUGCUUUUGUGAAUAGAGCUUGGAUUUGGAGGUUUAUUGCUGGUACUUGUGAUCGGCUCCUCUUGAAUGCAUUAGCUCGAACCUUUGCGGAUCAGCUAUCGGUGUGAUAAUUGUCUACGCCGUUGCAGUGAAGCAUAUCAAUGGGCUCGGCUUCCAAUCGUCCUUUACUGGACAAUGACUUUGACCUUUGACCUCAAAUCAGGUAGGAUUACCCGCUGAACUUAAGC